rnacentral:rRNA from 1 species
UACGUAGGGUGCGAGCGUUGUCCGGAAUUACUGGGCGUAAAGAGCUUGUAGGCGGUUUGUCGCGUCUGCUGUGAAAAUCCGGGGCUCAACCCCGGACUUGCAGUGGGUACGGGCAGACUAGAGUGUGGUAGGGGAGACUGGAAUUCCUGGUGUAGCGGUGAAAUGCGCAGAUAUCAGGAGGAACACCGAUGGCGAAGGCAGGUCUCUGGGCCACUACUGACGCUGAGAAGCGAAAGCAUGGGGGAGCGAACAGG